UCUGUUUUCUUAUUUGUGCUUGAAGAGAAAUUCUUAACUUUUUUGCAUUGCUUAUAUAUUGAUCUGCUCCAUGUAGUAUUGACCCGAUACACAUUGAUGAUCCCCUUUUUCCAACUAAUAAUGUGGGGCGUAAUUGCUUCCGUAUACAUCAGUGUAUCAAGGCAUUUUCAGAAGCUCACUCUAUUUUGGAGAAUGAGUUGGCUUCUCUUCCCAAUGACGGUGGUGAUGAUGCGUGCUCAAGGCCCCCAUAUAGACUUCUCUGGAAAAUCAUCCCAAGUAUUGAUCUAUCGUAGCACUGCUUACUGUAUGCAAAGUUGUAUGCUUCUUAAGAGUAGGGGAGGUUGCGAAAUAGUAGGUGCCUUCGGUUAUGACUCCUUACCCUGCUAAUCCCAUCCCCUGGCGUUUUAACUUGUUGGUUGAAAACUGCAACCCCUAAUUAUGGCUUUAAGCAUGAUUAAAUUGGAGUUCAUUCUGUAUGGGCGACCAUGAUAUGUCUGUAAUUUUCACUGCAGAUUAGCUCCGGUACUCUCGGUGCAGUCAUGAACUCUCUUUGUUAUGGUUCUGGUGCAGGUGUUGGCCACAGAAAAUCGCCGGUUUUGUUGCCGUCAUAAUGUCAUUAAAGACUGGAUUUUCUGCUAAACUGUAUCAAGUUCAUCUUGGUGCCAAACGUGCUCAAGUGAGAGUGGAAAGGAGUAGCAACAAUCAGAAAAAGGCUCGCAUCAGAUUCUUCAGGUCAGCCCCCAAACCUGAUUUGGCGGUUCACUGCACUGAACAUUUGUGCCGAAAACUCUAAAACCAAUUGUAUAUAUUGUUAGUACGGGUGUAUAAAUUUUAUACAACUGUUCAUAAAUUAUACCAGCUGUUCAGUUACGUCGAACUAGCAUAGAAUUUGUAUACUCGUCGAAAACAAAACGUUAGGUUGUAUGUGGCCAAGAUAUUUACCUAGCAACAGAAAUGUAUUGAGAUCAUAAAGUUCAACUGUA